rnacentral:tRNA from 1 species
ACCUGUUUGGCUCAGUUGCAAGAGCAUAUGACUCUUGAUCUUGGGGCUGUGAGUUUGAGCCCCACAUUGGGUA